rnacentral:lncRNA from 1 species
GAGCCCUGGGCAUCUGGGGACGAGGCCUGGCAUUUGCGGGACAGUGAGUGGCCCAGCCAGCAGCCAAGGAUGGGGUCUCCGCCACCCGGUUUACUUGAAAGUGUGGCUCUCAGCUCCACCCCGCCCAAAGCCUUUAGGCCCAAACAUGGCGGAGUAGCAGGGAUGGUUGCAGUAGGGGUAGGAAGAGCACAUGAUAGCUGAAAUGAGGCCCGAAGGAACUGUAUCUGGGGCCACUGAAGAAGGUGAACUGCAAGAAGGUGCGAGGAAGGCCAGGAUGCGCAACGGUGGGUCUGAGGACAGAGCGUAGGGGUGAGGUCAAAGGCCAGGCACCCACCCAGCGAGGAGAGCCGGGAGCCACGGUGCCAAGGACAGCCUCCCUGGAGGGCACCUAGUGGGCAGGGCUUCUGUACAUGAGGGACCACGGCUGACUCCACAAUGCGCACAAUUCCCAGGAGAGUUAGGGAUGAGUAGAGAGACGUGCGUGGGACCUGGCAGUGUCUGU